rnacentral:tRNA from 1 species
AAAGGGAGACCUAAUUCGGGUAGGAGACGAAAAAAAAGUAGUCGCUACCAAGAAUCAAUCCCAAAAGGUCGGAGCGAGGCGAAAUUGGCUUUCAAACUAGGUUCUGGGUUCACACAAGACCUGAAUCAGGAACAAGGGCUAUUAGCUCAGGUGGUUAGAGCGCACCCCUGAUAAGGGUGAGGUCCCUGGUUCGAGUCCAGGAUGGCCCACCUGCACAGGUGGCAAAAACAAGAGAAGCGAGGAAUCAGCACCUGCUCUUACCUACAUAGUAAGAGAGAAUGCUGGCUCUGAGUACAGAGUCCAGAGGAACCUUGAAAACUGCAUAGAGCUAGGUGAAAAAGCCAAAAAAGAAGACCGCAAG